GACGAACGCUGGCGGCGUGCCUAAUACAUGCAAGUUGAGCGAUGAAGAUUGGUGCUUGCACCAAUUUGCAGAGCAGCGCACGGGUGAGUAACGCGUGGGGAAUCUGCCUUUGAGCGGGGGACAACAUUUGGAAACGAAUGCUAAUACCGCAUAACAACUUUAAACAUAAGUUUUAAGUUUGAAAGAUGCAAUUGCAUCACUCAAAGAUGAUCCCGCGUUGUAUUAGCUAGUUGGUGAGGUAAAGGCUCACCAAGGCGAUGAUACAUAGCCGACCUGAGAGGGGGAGCGGCCACAUUGGGACUGAGACACGGCCCAAACUCCUACGGGAGGCAGCAGUAGGGAAUCUUCGGCAAUGGACGAAAGUCUGACCGAGCAACGCCGCGUGAGUGAAGAAGGUUUUCGGAUCGUAAAACUCUGUUGGUAGAGAAGAACGUUGGUGAGAGUGGAAAGCUCAUCAAGUGACGGUAACUACCCAGAAAGGGACGGCUAACUACGUG
rnacentral:rRNA from 1 species